GUGCUCGCUUUGGCAGCACAUAUACUCAAAUUGGAACGAUACAGAGAAGAUUAGCCAUGGCCCCUGCACAAGGAUGACAUGCAAAUUCGUGAAGCAUUCCAUAGAAUU